rnacentral:rRNA from 1 species
UACGGGGGGGGCAAGCGUUGUUCGGAAUUACUGGGCGUAAAGCGUGCGCAGGCGGUUUGCUAAGACCGAUGUGAAAUCCCCGGGCUUAACCUGGGAACUGCAUUGGUGACUGGCAGGCUAGAGUAUGGCAGAGGGGGGUAGAAUUCCACGUGUAGCAGUGAAAUGCGUAGAGAUGUGGAGGAAUACCGAUGGCGAAGGCAGCCCCCUGGGCCAAUACUGACGCUCAUGCACGAAAGCGUGGGGAGCAAACAGG